rnacentral:rRNA from 1 species
CCUACGGGGUGCAGCAGUGAGGAAUAUUGGUCAAUGGGCGCAAGCCUGAACCAGCCAAGUCGCGUGAGGGAUGAAGGUUCUAUGGAUCGUAAACCUCUUUUAUAAGGGAAUAAAGUGUGGGACGUGUCCUAUUUUCUAUGUACCUUAUGAAUAAGGAUCGGCUAACUCCGUGCCAGCAGCCGCGGUAAUACGAAGGAUCCGCGCGUUAUCCGGAUUUAUUGGGUUUAAAGGGUGCGUAGGCGGGCUGUUAAGUCAGAGGUGAAAGUCCGUGGCUCAACCAUAGAAUUGCCGUUGAAACUGGUGGGCUUGAGUAUGUUUGAGGCAGGUGGAAUGCGUGGUGUAGCGGUGAAAUGCUUAGAGAUCACGAAGAACCCCGAUGGCGAAGGCAGCCCGCCAAGCCAUGACUGACGCUGAUGCACGAAAGCGUGGGGAUCAAACAGGAUUAGAUACCCGGGUAGUC